AGGAAUUAAGGAGUUCUGCACUGUUAGUCUAUUAAUAUUUUAUCAUGAAUUGUCAGCACCAGCACUUUGGACUGGAACCUGUGAAAGGAUGAGCCAAAAUAAACACCUUCCUUCCAUUUAGUUGGGCAUGUUGGAUAUUUUGUCCCAGCAAUGAGAAAGCUGACCAUACAAUGACCUUAGCAUUUCCAUCAAAUCUCAACUCAUUCCAGAUUUCAGAUUCCUGGAAACAAACCUGCCUUAAUGGAGCCAAGCGAUCAUUUCUCUUCUUUGCACCCCCCAAAAGAAUCCAAUAAUCAAACGCUAUUGAAAGAAGCUUUCAGCAACUGGAACAGAGUGGGAUCUCCAUAGAUGCGGCUAUUAGACAGCUGUGCCUUGGUACUCAAAUGCUUUGAAACUUGUUGAAUUUGGUACUGGAUGUAUUUGAAUGUGAAAUGUUGUCCCUCACAGUUAAUUUGGUACCAACCUGCAAGCUAGAACUUGUCUAUAUCAACUGCCUCGUGACUCCUUAUAAUUUUCAGCCAAAAUAAUUUGUU
rnacentral:lncRNA from 1 species